AUACUUACCCGGCAGGGGAGAUACCAUGAUCACUAAGGUGGUUCUCCCAGGGCGAGGCUCAUCCAUUGCACUCCCAUGCGGAAAAUGCGACUGCAUAAUUUGUGGUAUUAUUCAGUU
rnacentral:snRNA from 1 species